UACGUAGGGGGCAAGCGUUGUCCGGAAUUAUUGGGCGUAAAGAGCUCGUAGGCGGUGUGUCGCGUCGGCCGUGAAAACCUGCAGCUUAACUGUGGGCUUGCGGUCGAUACGGGCAUCACUGGAGUUCGGCAGGGGAGACUGGAAUUCCUGGUGUAGCGGUGAAAUGCGCAGAUAUCAGGAGGAACACCGGUGGCGAAGGCGGGUCUCUGGGCCGAAACUGACGCUGAGGAGCGAAAGCGUGGGGAGCGAACAGG
rnacentral:rRNA from 1 species